rnacentral:rRNA from 1 species
AGUGAACGCUGGCGGUAGGCCUAACACAUGCAAGUCGAACGGCAGCACAGGAGAGCUUGCUCUCUGGGUGGCGAGUGGCGGACGGGUGAGGAAUACAUCGGAAUCUACUUUUUCGUGGGGGAUAACGUAGGGAAACUUACGCUAAUUCCGCGUACGACCUACGGGUGAAAUCAGGGGACCUUCGGGCCUUGCGCGAUUGAAUGAGCCGAUGUCGGAUUAGAUAGUUGGCGGGGUAAAGGCCCACCAAGGCGACGAGCCGUAGCUGGUCUGAGACGAUGUGCAGCGACACAGGAGAUGAGACACGGUCCAGACUCGUAGGGGGAGCAGAAGUGGGGAAGAUUGGACGAUGGGGAGAAGCCUGAUCCAGCCAGGCUGCGUGGGAGAAGCAGGCAUUUCGGUUGUAAAGCCCGUUUGUUAGGAAAGAAAUCCAGCUAGCUAAGACCCGGUUGGGAUGACGGUACCCAAAGAAUAAGCACCGGAUAACUUCGUGCCAGCCGCCGCGGUAA